GUUAACAUCUACAGCCAUGGACACUACAGGUUAACAUCUACAGCCAUGGACACUACGAGUUAACAUCUACAGCCAUGGACACUACGGGUUAACAUCUACAGCCAUGGACACUAUGGGUUAACAUCUACAGCCAUGGACACUACGGGUUAACAUCUACAGCCAUGGACACUACAGGUUAACAUCUACAGCCAUGGACACUAUGGGUUAACAUCUACAGCCAUGGAUGCUACAGGUUAACAUCUACAGCCAUGGACACUACGGGUUAACAUCUACACGUAUUCAGUUUGGAUGACUCCCGCUAUGGGCUGGAACAGUGGUAAAUCUAGAUGUAUCAACGUGGAUGGGUACGUCGUAGAAUUGAAGAGUUAGACAGACAAUCUUCACUUGUCAAUGGAGAUGGGCAUAGGUAAAUCUGCAUUGGAUGGAAGUGGGUGAGAUAUGAUGUGGUUGGUGUGUGUGUGUGUGUGUGUUUUUGAUAUUGUAACAGACAGUACGGGAGAGUAAGAGAGAAAAAGCCAGAGGGUUGACAUUCAUGAUUGGCUUUUUCAGACUAGGCAUAAGAGACACGCUGGACAGCAGGACUAGACAAAUUGAUCCAGCAAACACAUGUGCAAGUAUCAAUGACCAAUACUGAUCAAUCAAUGGUGAGUGAUGAUCAGAAUUUCAAAACAGGGAAGCUUACGGGCAAUUCCAUGGCAACGAAAUGAUACUGAGACUCACAUUUUUCACUUUAAAAUGUAUG
rnacentral:lncRNA from 1 species